rnacentral:tRNA from 1 species
CUUGUGGCUCAGUGGUAGAGCACUUUCCUCACACAUGCGAGGCCCUGGGUUCGAUUCUCAGCACCACA